AACGAACGCUGGCGGCGCGCCUAAUACAUGCAAGUCGAGCGAGAAGACGUAGCAAUACGUUUGUAAAGCGGCGAACGGGUGAGGAAUACAUGGGUAACCUACCCUAGAGUGGGGAAUAACUAGCCGAAAGGUUAGCUAAUACCGCGUACGCUCCUUGGACUUCGGUACAGGGAGGAAAGCGAUACCGUGGGUAUCGCGCUCUUGGAUGGGCUCAUGUCCUAUCAGCUUGUUGGUGAGGUAACGGCUCACCAAGGCUUCGACGGGUAGCUGGUCUGAGAGGACGAUCAGCCACACUGGCACUGCGACACGGGCCAGACUCCUACGGGAGGCAGCAGUAAGGAAUAUUGCGCAAUGGGCGAAAGCCUGACGCAGCAACGCCGCGUGCGGGAUGACGGCCUGGUGUAA
rnacentral:rRNA from 1 species